GACGAACGCUGGCGGCGUGCUUAACACAUGCCAGUCGAACGGAAAGGCCCUGCUUUUGUGGGGUGCUCGAGUGGCGAACGGGUGAGUAACACGUGAGUAACCUGCCCUUGACUUUGGGAUAACUUCAGGAAACUGGGGCUAAUACCGGAUAGGAGCUCCUGCUGCAUGGUGGGGGUUGGAAAGAUUCGGCGUUUGGGGAUGGACUCGCGGCUUAUCAGCUUGUUGGUGGGGUAGUGGCUUACCAAGGCUUUGACGGGUAGCCGGCCUGGGAGGGUGACCGGCCACAUUGCGACUGCGAUACGGCCCAGACUCCUACGGGAGGCAGCAGUGGGGAAUAUUGCACAAUGGGCGGAAGCCUGAUGCAGCAACGCCGCGUGCGGGAUGACGGCCUUCGGGUUGUAAACCGCUUUCGCCUGUGACGAAGCGUGAGUGACGGUAAUGGGUAAAGAAGCACCGGCUAACUACGUG
rnacentral:rRNA from 1 species